rnacentral:rRNA from 1 species
UACGUAGGUGGCAAGCGUUGUCCGGAAUUACUGGGUGUAAAGGGCGUGUAGGCGGGUUAUUAAGUCAGAUGUGAAAUUCCAGGGCUCAACCCUGGAGCUGCAUCUGAAACUGAUGAUCUUGAGUACUGGAGAGGGAAGUGGAAUUCCUAGUGUAGCGGUGAAAUGCGUAGAUAUUAGGAGGAACACCAGUGGCGAAGGCGACUUUCUGGACAGUAACUGACGCUGAGGCGCGAGAGCGUGGGGAGCAAACAGG